rnacentral:rRNA from 1 species
CGUAAAGAACCUGCCUCAUAGACUGGGACAACUAUUGGAAACGAUAGCUAAUACCGGAUAACAGUAUUUCUCGCAUGAGAGAUAUUUAAAAGUUGGUUAUGCUAACACUAUGAGAUGACUUUGCGGUGCAUUAGCUAGUUGGUGGGGUAAAGGCCUACCAAGGCGACGAUGCAUAGCCGACCUGAGAGGGUGAUCGGCCACACUGGGACUGAGACACGGCCCAG